CAUCUCGGGCUUUGGGAGGUCAGGCUGCACCCAGCCAGGACUAGGCCGGCGCCUGUUCUCGGCCAAGCCGACUCUUCCCUGGAGCCUGGCGGAGCACACGCCAGGCCUGGCAGCCAGUGGGGACUCGACCAGCUGCCGGUCCUGCCGUGUUACUCCCUCCGUGCCCACCCACCCUGCUGCCCGGAGCUGCUGGAAAUCUCUCGUGUCUGCAAUCAGCCUCACCGAACGGACCCGAGCCCGAUCAGCCCUUUGCAGGUGCAUCUGGCGAGAGGCUGCUUCACGUGGGCGCACGCCGAUUUCCCCUCCUCCUCUCCCCGCUCCGGGUGUGUCCGGCUGGGGCGCCGGCACAGGCUCGGCUACUUAAGUUUGUUUGCAGACUCGCAGGCCCGGAUCCCCUGCAGCUUGGUGUGAUCUCCCGCUCCUCGGAUUUCCGCUCGCCUUGGCCCAGAGCCCAUCAGCCACACCAGCUUUGCGUCAAGAACAUCGGAUCUGCAAGGCUUCACCGAGCCUCUACUAUGUGUGGACGGCAAACCCACCCACUGGAACAGACGCACUGGCCUACACGCUGCUGUAAGGUGGGGAUCAGGAUGUCUUUAGAAUCUGGGAAGAUUCUGAACUUUGCAGCAUUAACCAUCUGCAAGAGAAGCUACUUCUAACGUACAGUUCCCUGAAAAUAAAAAAUACGGGCAGCAAGGCAAGAUUCCCUGGAGAGCCAGGCUGAGAUCCAAAGAAGCAAUUUGAAGUCUUGAGCCAUGAGAUCGAGACCAUUGGUAGGAUAAACCCUUGGGAAGGCACCUAGAGACCCACGGACCUUGUGAGAAGGAAUAGCCAUAGCGUCCCUGGCUGCUUACCUCCAAAACUUAUAUACAGGAAAGACAAAUGGACUUCUCUCUUGGCUCACCGCCCACCGGCCCGUCAGAGCCCAUCUCCUGUCUUGUGGAGCCGACUGUCCCCACCACACCCACAGUGCACAUCCUACAGCACCCUCUCCAGAUGCACAACGCUUUCACGGGACAGGGUUCGGUGCCCCAGAAGCACGAGGCUCCUAUGCAUUUGAGGAAUGCUGAAAGCAUUCAAGUGGUCUGCCAAAUCCAUACCGCCAUCACUUAGGGUAAGUGCUCAAAAAUAUUUGUUUGGAUAAAUUAAUAAGGUGGCA